UGGGGAAUAUUGGACAAUGGGCGAAAGCCUGAUCCAGCAAUGCCGCGUGAGUGAGGAAGGCCUUAGGGUUGUAAAGCUCUUUCGGCGGGGACGAUGAUGACGGUACCCGCAGAAGAAGCCCCGGCUAACUUCGUGCCAGCAGCCGCGGUAAUACGAAGGGGGCGAGCGUUGUUCGGAUUUACUGGGCGUAAAGGGCGCGCAGGCGGUCCUGUUUGUCGAGUGUGAAAGCCCCGGGCUCAACCUGGGAACUGCGCUCGAGACGGCGGGACUAGAGUUCGGGAGAGGAGAGUGGAAUUCCCAGUGUAGAGGUGAAAUUCGUAGAUAUUGGGAAGAACACCGGUGGCGAAGGCGGCUCUCUGGACCGAUACUGACGCUGAGGCGCGAAAGCGUGGGGAGCAAACAGGAUUAGAUACCCCGGUAGUCC
rnacentral:rRNA from 1 species